rnacentral:rRNA from 1 species
AGCAGCCGCGGUAAUUCCAGCUCCAAUAGCGUAUAUUAAAGUUGUUGCAGUUAAAAAGCUCGUAGUUGAAUUUCGAGAUCAAAUUGUUGGUCGUGCCUCGGUACGUAAUGGCAUUAUUGAUUUCUCCCUUCUGAAGAACCUUGAUGUCAUUAAUUUGGUGUCUUGGGGAAUCAGGACCGUUACUUUGAAAAAUUAGAGUGUUUAAAGCAGGCUCACGCUUGAAUACAUUAGCAUGGAAUAAUGAAAUAGGACGUUUGAUUCUAUUUUGUUGGUUUCUAGGAUCGACGUAAUGAUUAAUAGGGAUAGUUGGGGGCAUUAGUAUUCAAUUGUCAGAGGUGAAAUUCUUGGAUUUAUUGAAGACUAAACUACUGCGAAAGCAUUUGCCAAGGAUGUUUUCAUUAAUCAAGAACGAAAGUUAGGGGAUCGAAGACGAUACAGAUACCGUCGUAGU